rnacentral:rRNA from 1 species
GACGAACCGUGCGAACGUUGUUCGGAAUCACUGGGCUUAAAGGGCGCGUAGGCGGGUUUCCAAGUCUGUGGUGAAAGCCUCCAGCUUAACUGGAGAAGUGCCGUGGAUACUGGAAAUCUUGAGGAGGGUAGGGGCAUCUGGAACUGCCGGUGGAGCGGUGAAAUGCGUAGAUAUUGGGAGGAACACCGGUGGCGAAGGCGGCUACCUGGACCGGUUCUGACGCUGAUGCGCGAAAGCGUGGGGAGCGAACAGG